rnacentral:lncRNA from 1 species
GUGAGUUCAGCCUAUCAUUUGAGAUCCGAGUAUGAUUGGGGAAAUAUCCUGAAAUAGUCUAUGAUUUGAAGAAAUGGAUAGAUGGCUAGAAUAACAUGCUAGAUGGUAGUCAAGUUACUAACUGCAGAAUUGAUUUGAUAAAAUUCUCAUCGUGUCUCCUGACUUAGGAGAAAUAUUGGGUCUGAUGAAUGGGUAAAAUUCCCAGGUGAAAAGAAUUUGGUCUGUAAGAUUUGGCAGCACCCUGAGGUUUGCCAUAUCUGAUGGCCUGGCUUUAGUGGCAGCACCUAGUGAAGGCCCAGGUGUCCUUCUGACAACCUUUACCACCUACCGUUUUGUCCUUACUUAUGUUGAAUCACUACACACAGGCUGUUGAAUUCAGCUGUCUGUGGAGAAAUUAUACCAACCACAUGGUUAGACAGAAGGAAUACAAUAUAUUGCUUAAUUUGUAUCUGAAAGCUAAGCAACAUGGAAAAAAAUCAAGCAUGCUCAGUCACUUCCAUGAGGACAAACGAAGACACUUCAAGAUAAUGAUUGAUACACCUCCCAUGCCC